rnacentral:lncRNA from 1 species
CACUGCUGCAGCCUGUGGCCUGGACAUUUGCCCAUGGUUGUGAGGUCCCCAUGCAUGGGACUUCUUCCUCCUGACUCCAGGCUUCAGUUCACCCAUCAGGCCUUAAAGCAUCUUCUGCCCUAUCUUGCCCUGAACUUUUUGCUGCAAAAACCAAGGGCACUGCCUCAAGCUUAUCUUCCCAGCCACUGUUUACUGCUGCUACAUUGUUGCCCAAGACACUUCAGAAGUGACCGUUUUUGUCAUCUCCUGCCAAGUCCUGGAAGGCAAGCCACCAAGUCCCAUGCACCAUUCCCACAGCCUGACAACCUUCCUGACUCUACCCACUGGAAUCUAAAGAGUCUGCCCACUUCUGGAUGUUUGUUCAGGUGAGCUCUCCACAAGUGUGGUGACCAUGACCACGGCAGGCUCAGUUCCCACCCG